rnacentral:sRNA from 1 species
GUAGUCUUAAAGGGAAAGUCUAGGGAGACCCUUGCCUUAGUUGCCUACGGGGAAUAAGAAGUCAGCAGCCAUUGAAAGGUUUGUCUUGCUGUGCUGAUGGUGACAUAGCAGAGUGGGGGCUGGUGUUGGUUGGUGGUAGUUUGUCGUUCACGGCCUCUGUCCUGAUAUUGCCCAAGAACACCAGGCUAUCAGCUCAGCCUUGUGCGUUAGAACGGGUUAUCUUGGUGAGUAGAUAGGGUUUUUAUGAAGGAAAAUGCCAGAGGAAAAAGGGAAGCACUGCCGAGGGAUCAAGGCUGCUUUAGGGAUCAAGGCUGCUUUCUAGCAUCUCAUUUCCGCUUCCAGAUGCCCCUUGGUGUGGCCACUGCAAGGCUCUGGCCCCUGAGUAUGCCAAAGCCGCUGGGAAACUGAAGGCAGAAGGUUCCGAGAUCAGGUUGGCCAAGGUGGACGCCACGGAGGAGUCUGACCUGGCCCAGCAGUACGGCGUGCGCGGCUAUCCCACCAUCAAGUUCUUCAGGAAUGGAGACACGGCUUCCCCCAAGGAAUAUACAGCUGGCAGAGAGGCCGAUGACAUCGUGAACUGGCUGAAGAAGCGCACGGGCCCGGCUGCCACCACCCUGCCUGACGGCGCAGCUGCAGAGUCCUUGGUGGAGUCCAGCGAGGUGGCUGUCGUCGGCUUCUUCAAGGACGUGGAGUCAGACUCUGCCAAGCAGUUUUUGCAGGCAGCAGAGGCCAUCGAUGACAUACCAUUUGGGAUCACUUCCAACAGUGACGUGUUCUCCAAAUACCAGCUCGACAAAGAUGGGGUUGUCCUCUUUAAGAAGUUUGAUGAAGGCCGGAACAACUUUGAAGGGGAGGUCACCAAGGAGAACCUGCUGGACUUUAUCAAACACAACCAGCUGCCCCUUGUCAUCGAGUUCACCGAGCAGACAGCCCCGAAGAUUUUUGGAGGUGAAAUCAAGACUCACAUCCUGCUGUUCUUGCCCAAGAGUGUGUCUGACUAUGAUGGCAAACUGAGCAACUUCAAAACAGCAGCCGAGAGCUUCAAGGGCAAG